AGAAGGAAUGGGUGACGUUUCGGGUCGAGACCCGUCUUCAGAGAGAUGCAGAGAAAACUAUUUCACCCGCCCAGUCUGAGACUAAACAUGAAUGAAAGCAAAGAGUUCACCUCACCACCAUUUAGAACAGGGGCAAUUAUGGAUAAGGAAUAAAUGCCAGCUAGAGGCAAUGAAGGAAGAAGCAGAAAGUCUUGAUUCAUUGUAGGAUUAAAUUAUACUAUUAUAGUUAGGGACUGACCUCGGGAGCUCCAAGCCGCAGGAGCUUCGACCGCCCCGAUGCGGGAGCUUUGAUCACCCCAUCGCAGGAGCUUUGAUCGCCCUGACUGCGGAUGGUUCGA